rfam:Myotis brandtii contig263443, whole genome shotgun sequence.
GGCGGUUCUCAGGUGACACACCCAGAAUUGGGCUCCCUCUUCUCUGGUUCCAGGUGUGUCACCUGAGAACUGCA